rnacentral:rRNA from 1 species
GACGAACGCUGGCGGCGUGCUUAACACAUGCAAGUCGAACGGAAAGGCCCUGCUUGCAGGGUGCUCGAGUGGCGAACGGGUGAGUAACACGUGGGUGAUCUGCCCCUUACUUUGGGAUAAGCCUGGGAAACUGGGUCUAAUACUGGAUAGGACCAUGCUGUAGGUGGUGUGGUGGAAAGAUUAGUUUCGGUAAGGGAUGAGCUCGCGGCCUAUCAGCUUGUUGGUGGGGUAAUGGCCUACCAAGGCGUCGACGGGUAGCCGGCCUGAGAGGGUGGACGGCCACAUUGGGACUGAGAUACGGCGCAGACUCCUACGGGAGGCAGCAGUGGGGAAUAGUGCACAAUUGGCGCAAGCCUGAUGCAGCGACGCCGCGUGGGGGAUGACGGCCUUCGGGUUGUAAACUCCUUUCAGCCAUGACGAAGCCCUUGUGGUGACGGUAGUGGUAGAAGAAGCACCGGCUAACUACGUG